AGUCCUGGGGUGUCACACGUCAAAAUGCAAGUUUGAAAAAGAGCCCCAAGAGGCUCCGGGGCUU
rnacentral:tRNA from 1 species